rnacentral:sRNA from 1 species
CUUUAGUUUGCAUUGAGGAUGUAAACAAAAUACCAGAGAAACGGGCAGGUAUUUAGACACAUAGAGUGAACAUGUUUGUGUUGUGUGAUGGUGAAAGUUUUCCGGUUAUCAAAAGUUUACGUUAAGUUUAUCAUCAAGUCCCAGCACUAUCUUCAUCCUGUGUCUGUCGGCGAGUAGCUGAGAGGUGGAGGCUUCAAAAAAAAAAAGGAAAUGUUAGAUCGUGAAAUGUCAUUCUAAGCAUGAGUCAAAGAUAUUCUAGAGAGUACACAAUAAACUACCCGAGGGCUGACUUUGUCCCUGGUGGUCAGCCCGCUGUAUUCAUGGAGGCUGUCGGGGACGAGCCCUCGGUGACGUUACUCAAGAUGAUAACGACCGAGUCCAGUGCGGAGUUUGUGAAUGUGUUCGGUGUACGGAAUAUGCUCGAGAUCCCGAGGGACGGGACCAAGGGCGCGGGGUGUCAGGAAGUCAACGCCCCAGGAUCAAAUAACAGCGACUACGACGAUGGCAUGGGAGAUGAACGAGAUUCUGACUGCUCCGGAUCAUCGUCCGGUGCUGGAGCAGGCA